rnacentral:rRNA from 1 species
GCCGGCAGCUAGCUCUUUGCAACUCUCACAUGGUCAUCCACUGAAGCUAAGCAGGGCUGCGCCAGGUUAGUACCUGGAUGGGAGACCACAUAGGAAAGCUAGCUUGCUGCCAGAA